rnacentral:rRNA from 1 species
AGGUUGGCUCAGAAGCAGCCAUCCUUUAAAGAGUGCGUAACAGCUCACUAGUCGAGUGACCCUGCGCCGAAAAUGUACCGGGGCUAAGCCUGAUACCGAAACUGCGGAUUGUAGGAAACUAUAGUGGUAGGGGAGCGUUGUAUACGAGCAGAAGCCGUACCGUGAGGAGCGGUGGAUUGUAUAGAAGUGAGAAUGCCGGUGUGAGUAGCGAGAUGUAGGUGAGAAUCCUACACACCGAAAGCCCAAGGAUUCCAGGGGAAGGUUCGUCCGCCCUGGGUAAGUCGGGACCUAACGCGAGGCCGAAAGGCGUAGUGGAUGGAAAGCAGGCGAAAGAUUCCUGCACCCGUAUAUGGAGCGAAGGAGUGACGGAGACGGAUAGUGUGACCCUCUUAAUGGAUUGAGGGCGAAGCGAAGCGGCUGGUUACCAGGCAAAUCCGGUAACCAAAAGGCUAGAGCGUGACAGGUAAGCGAAAUCUUAGGAAAGUAGCGAAGCACAUGAUGACGGCUUCCAGGAAAAGCUUCUGGCAAUGCAUAUGCGGCCCGUACCAAAACCGACACAGGUGGGCAGGGAGAGAAUCCCGAGGUGAGCGAGAGAACUGUUGCCAAGGAACUCGGCAAAAUGACUCCGUAAGUUAGCGAGAAGGAGUGCUUAAGCAAUUAAGCCGCAGUGAAGAGGCCCAAGCGACUGUUUAACUAAAACACAGCUCUCUGCGAAGUCGCAAGACGAAGUAUAGGGGGUGACACCUGCCCGGUGCUGGAAGGUUAAGAGGAUCUGUUAAGAGCGAUCUGAAGCAGUGAUCCGAAGCCCCAGUGAACGGCGGCCGUAACUAUAACGGUCCUAAGGUAGCGAAAUUCCUUGUCAGGUAAGUUCUGACCCGCACGAAAGGUGUAACGAUUUGGGCGCUGUCUCGGCAGCAGACUCGGUGAAAUCUUAGUACCUGUGAAAAUGCAGGUUACCCGCAACUAGACGGAAAGACCCCAUGGAGCUUUACUGCAGCCUGAUAUUGAAUUCUGGUCAUACAUGUACAGGAUAGGUGGGAGACAAAGAGACGUGCACGCCAGUGUACGAGGAGUCGUCGUUGGGAUACCACUCUUGUGUGACCGGGGUUCUAACCUGGUAUCGAGAACAGGUACGGGGAGAGUGUCAGGUGGGCAGUUUGACUGGGGCGGUCGCCUCCCAAAGAGUAACGGAGGCGCCCAAAGGUACGCUCAGAUUGGAUGGAAACCAAUCGUCGAGUGCAAUUGCAGAAGCGUGCUUGACUGUGAGACAAACAAGUCGAACAGGGACGAAAGUCGGGAAUAGUGAUCCGGCGGUGCCGAAUGGAAGGGCCGUCGCUCAACGGAUAAAAGCUACCCUGGGGAUAACAGGCUGAUCUCCCCCAAGAGUCCACAUCGACGGGGAGGUUUGGCACCUCGAUGUCGGCUCAUCGCAUCCUGGGGCUGAAGUAGGUCCCAAGGGUUGGGCUGUUCGCCCAUUAAAGCGGUACGCGAGCUGGGUUCAGAACGUCGUGAGACAGUUCGGUCCCUAUCUGUUGUGGGCGAAGGAGAUCUGCGGAGAGCUGUCCUCAGUACGAGAGGACCGGGAUGGACCUACCGCUGGUGCACCGGUUGUUCCGCCAGGGGCAUGGCCGGGUAGCUAAGUAGGGAAAGGAUAAGCGCUGAAAGCAUCUAAGCACGAAGCCUACUCCAAGAUGAGAUCUCCCAUUCGCAAGAAGUAAGACCCCUUAAAGACGAUAAGGUAGAUAGGCCAGGGAUGGAAGUGCAGUGAUGUACGGAGUUGACUGGUACUAAUCGGUCGAGGACUUAAUC